rnacentral:rRNA from 1 species
UACGAGGGGGGCGAGCGUUGUUCGGAAUUAUUGGGCGUAAAGGGCGCGUAGGCGGUCGGAUAAGUCUUAUGUGAAAUCUACAGGCUCAACUUGUAGUCUGCAUGAGAAACUGCCGGGCUUGAGUAUGGGAGAGGUGAGUGGAAUUCCUGGUGUAGCGGUGAAAUGCGUAGAUAUCAGGAGGAACACCUGUGGCGAAAGCGGCUCACUGGACCAUAACUGACGCUGAUGCACGAAAGCUAGGGGAGCAAACAGG